AUUGAACGCUGGCGGCAGGCUUAACACAUGCAAGUCGAGCGGAGAUGAGGUGCUUGCACCUUAUCUUAGCGGCGGACGGGUGAGUAAUGCUUAGGAAUCUGCCUAUUAGUGGGGGACAACAUUCCGAAAGGAAUGCUAAUACCGCGUACGUCCUACGGGAGAAAGCAGGGGAUCUUCGGACCUUGCGCUAAUAGAUGAGCCUAAGUCGGAUUAGCUAGUUGGGGGGGUAAAGGCCUACCAAGGCGACGAUCUGUAGCGGGUCUGAGUGGAUGAUCCGCCACACUGGGACUGAGACACGGCCCAGACUCCUACGGGAGGCAGCAGUGGGGAAUAUUGGACAAUGGGGGGAACCCUGAUCCAGCCAUGCCGCGUGUGUGAAGAAGGCCUAUGGUUGUAAAGCACUUUAAGCGAGGAGGAGGCUACUGAGACUAAUACUCUUGGAUAGUGGACGUUACUCGCAGAAUAAGCACCGGCUAACUCUGUGCCAGCCGCCGCAGUAACAC
rnacentral:rRNA from 1 species